rnacentral:rRNA from 1 species
CCUACGGGUGGCAGCAGUCGAGAAUUUUUGGCAAUGGGCGAAAGCCUGACCAAGCGAUGCCGCGUGCGGGAUGAAGGCCUUCGGGUUGUAAACCGCUGUCAGUGGGGAGGAAAGCUUUGUGAAGAGCAAGGCUUGACCUAUCCGCAGAGGAAGUGUGGGCUAAGUUCGUGCCAGCAGCCGCGGUAAGACGAACCACACAAACGUUAUUCGGGGCUACUGGGCUUCGUGGGUGCGGAAGCUGCGCAGGUGUGAAAUACCUCGGCUCAACCGAGGAACUGCGCCCAAAACUACUGUGCUUGAGGAAGAUAGAGGUAAGCGGAACUUACGGUGGAGCGGUGAAAUGCGUUGAUAUCGUAAGGAACACCUGUGGCGAAAGCGGCUUACUGGGUCUUUUCUGACGCUGAUGCACGAAAGCUAGGGGAGCAAACGGGAUUAGAUACCCCUGUAGUC